rnacentral:rRNA from 1 species
GACGAACGCUGGCGGCGUGCUUAACACAUGCAAGUCGAACGGACAGACAGAGAGCUUGCUCUCUUGAAGUUAGUGGCGAACGGGUGAGUAACGCGUAAUCAACCUGCCCUUCAGAGGGGGAUAACAACGGGAAACCGUUGCUAAUACCGCGUACGAUUCAUGAACGGCAUCGUUUAUGAAUGAAAGGUGGCCUCUAUGUAUAAGCUAUCGCUGAAGGAGGGGAUUGCGUCUGAUUAGCUAGUUGGAGGGGUAACGGCCCACCAAGGCAAUGAUCAGUAGCCGGGCUGAGAGGAUGAGCGGCCACAUUGGGACUGAGACACGGCCCAAACUCCUACGGGAGGCAGCAGUGGGGAAUCUUCCGCAAUGGACGAAAGUCUGACGGAGCAACGCCGCGUGAGUGAUGAAGGUCUUCGGAUUGUAAAGCUCUGUUAAUCGGGACGUAAGAGUUCUGCGUGAAUAAUGCAGAAAAGUGACGGUACCGGAAUAGAAAGCCACGGCUAACUACGUGCCAGCCGCCGCCGUAA